UACGGAGGGGGCGAGCGUUGUCCGAAGUUACUGGGCGUAAAGCGCGCGUAGGCGGGAAGGGAAGUCCGCUGUGAAAGCCCGGAGCUCAACUCCGGAGGGUCGGUGGAUACUCCUUUUCUUGAAGAGGCUAGGGGGAGAUGGAAUUGCCGGUGUAGCGGUGAAAUGCGUAGAUAUCAGGAGGAACACCAAUGGCGAAGGCAGCUCGCUGGGACGGUACUGACGCUGAGACGCGAAAGCGUGGGGAGCAAACAGG
rnacentral:rRNA from 1 species